rnacentral:lncRNA from 1 species
UUAGUGAUCCAAGUGAAGAGAUCACAAAAUGCAGAGGAUGUUGUUGCUUAAAGCAUUUGCCAAAUGCCACUUGGUAUCGUUAGGGACCCUCGUGACUGGUGUGAGCAUGUGCACGUGAUGCCUCUAAAUGUAAGUUAAACGAUGGUUGAGUAAUUGAGUAUUGACUAAGCUAUAUAUUGCUUGUUUAACUUGUAUUGCAUUACAUAGCUUGUGUUGUUGAUUAGUGUCAUCACGUUUCCUUUAUAAAAGCCUUCAAUC